UUAUCAUUUAGAGGAAGGAGAAGUCGUAACAAGGUUUCCGUAGGUGAACCUGCGGAAGGAUCAUUGUCGAAACCUGCCCAGCAGAAAGACCCGCGAACAUGUUCACCUCGACGUGCGGGGAGGGGUGCCUCGGCCCCCCGCCCCGAGCCGGGAGCAACCCCCGGCGCAGCAACGAAACCCCGGCGCGAACCGCGCCAAGGAACACGAACUCAUGGCGUGCCCGCCCGCGCCCGGUCCGCCGGCGCGCGGGGGCGGCACCUGUCCCUACUUAGAAACGUAACGACUCUCGGCAACGGAUAUCUCGGCUCUCGCAUCGAUGAAGAACGUAGCGAAAUGCGAUACUUGGUGUGAAUUGCAGAAUCCCGUGAACCAUCGAGUCUUUGAACGCAAGUUGCGCCCGAAGCCUUCCGGCCGAGGGCACGUCUGCCUGGGCGUCACGCAUCGCGCCUCCCCCCCGCCCGCCGGGGGGGAAGGAUGAUGGCCUCCCGYGCCCCCAGCCGGGGCGCGGCUGGCCCAAAACGGGAGCCCGCGGGGACGCGCUGCGGCGGCGACUGGUGGUGGACGAGGCCUUGAGUGGCCACCGUUUGCAUCGCGCCGCGCACGCACGCCGCCGGGAGGGGCUCGUCGGACCCUAAGGUGUGCUGAAGGCACAAAACCGUUGCGACCCCAGGUCAGGCGGGGCUACCCGCUGAGUUU
rnacentral:rRNA from 1 species